GAUGAACGCUAGCGACAGGCCUAACACAUGCAAGUCGAGGGGCAGCGAGGAUGUAGCAAUACAUUUGUCGGCGACCGGCGGACGGGUGAGUAACGCGUAGGCAACCUGCCCUUUGCAGAGGGAUAGCCAUUGGAAACGAUGAUUAAAACCUCAUAAUGCCAGACUGAGACAUCUCUAACUGGCCAAAGAUUUAUCGGCAAAGGAUGGGCCUGCGUCUGAUUAGCUAGUUGGUGGGGUAACGGCCUACCAAGGCGACGAUCAGUAGCCGACCUGAGAGGGUGAUCGGCCACAUUGGAACUGAGACACGGUCCAAACUCCUACGGGAGGCAGCAGUGGGGAAUAUUGCACAAUGGGCGAAAGCCUGAUGCAGCAACGCCGCGUGAAGGAAGAAGGUCUUCGGAUCGUAAACUUCUGUCCUUAGGGAAGAUAAUGACGGUACCUUUGGAGGAAGCCCCGGCUAACUACGUG
rnacentral:rRNA from 1 species